CUCCCCUGGCAAUGAGCAAGGAGACACCUUGGUGGUGGUGGUGUUCUUACAUCAGUCAGGGGCAGGGCAGAUGGCACUUCUUUGUUCAUCCUAGCUUGAUACCAGCCUUUGUGGCCAACGCUUUAUUAUGCCUAGGACACAUAA